CCCUUACUAUGUUUAUAUUAAUACAGAAUGCCUUCUCUUUUUCCCCACAUGUCCAACUUACACUCAUUCUCAAAAAUCAGCCCAAACCCCACCUCUAUGAGCUUUCAGGGGCCACCUUCCCAACAGGACGGCAAGAAUUCUGUAGCCUCAUCACAGGUACUCGGGCCAGGCACGCAGUGGAUGGAUGCCCACCAAAGAGUGCACAGCGUUUCUUCCCGUUCCUUGGUUGCCUGUAAGCCAAUGGUGAACCCCUGGAUGACCAAGCUGCUGCCCGUUUAGCUAACGGCCGCGAGGCUGACUGCUGACGUCACAGACCAAAGUCAGAGGAGAAGAUGGAGAGGGAGCCCCGGGCUGCUCAUCAUUGUUACUGACUCCAGCUAGGUUGUUACUAAACUCUUCUAAAAUGCAGA
rnacentral:lncRNA from 1 species